rnacentral:rRNA from 1 species
AGAAUCAACGCUGGCGGCGUGCCUAACACAUGCAAGUCGAACGAGAAAGGGGAGCAAUCCCUGAGUAAAGUGGCGACCGGGUGAGUAACACGUGACUAACCUACCCUCGAGUGUGGAAUAACAUCGGGAAACCGAUGCUAAUACCGCAUAACAUCGGCGCUUUUAAGAGAUGCCGAUCAAAGGAGCAAUCCGCUUGAGGAGGGGGUCGCGGCUGAUUAGCUAGUUGGCGGGGUAACGGCCCACCAAGGCGAAGAUCGGUAGCCGGCCUGAGAGGGCGCACGGCCACACUGGAACUGAAACACGGUCCAGACUCCUACGGGAGGCAGCAGUGGGGAAUUUUGCGCAAUGGGGGAAACCCUGACGCAGCAACGCCGCGUGGAGGAUGAAGCCCCUUGGGGCGUAAACUCCUUUCGACCAAGACGAUAAUGACGGUACUGGUGGAAGAAGCACCGGCUAACUCUGCGCCAGCAGCCGC